UCGGCCGCUGCAAAGGGUCGACACGGUCAGGGAGCGCCAGGCUUCUUGGCGCUUCCUCGUACCUAUGUUGCUCCAAGGAGGAUGUAGCUAUGAGAA
rnacentral:sRNA from 1 species